rnacentral:misc_RNA from 1 species
AAAAAACCAUGGGUGACGAGUGUUAACGAGCUUAAGCGGAGAGCAAGAUUUGAAAAGCAAGAGAGAAGGGUGGUACGUGAAGUUGCACUGCGGCCACCGGAAAAUGGGCUAUUAGUUGAGAAGUUAAUCCCUGUUGCUCAUCGUGUGUUAGCUUCAAGAGCUCAGUUGUUAGCUUGUGUUUCGAGGAUUUCGGAGGAAAUUCCUAUUUAUUUCUGCAGCUUAUGUACCGAAGUUCAUGUUGG